ensembl:lncRNA
CUGUAACUAGAAAAUGCAUUUCCUGAAGGAAAUACCAGUGCAUGAAAUGCAAAAGUUAAGAAAGGAAGAAGAAAAGAAAGAAGAGUGAAAGAAGGAAAGAAGAAAGGAAAGAAGAGUAAAAGGAAAGAAGAGUGGAAGAAGGAAAGAAUAAAGGAAAGAAGAGUGAAGAAAGGAAAGAAGAAAAGAAAGAAGAGUAAAAGAAGAAAAGAAGAAAGCAAAGAAGAGUGAAGAAAGGAAAGAAGAGUGGAAGAAGAAAAGAAGAAAGGAAAGAAGAGUGAAGAAAGAAAAGAAGAGUGGAAGAAGGAAAGAAGAAAGAAAAGAAGAGUGGAAGAAGGAAAGAAUAAAGAAAAGAAGAGUGAAGAAAGGAAAGAAGAAAAGAAAGAAGAGUGAAAGAAGGAAAGAAGAAAGGAAAGAAGAGUGGAAGAAGAAAAGAAAGAAGGAAAGAAGAAAGGAAAGAAGAGUAAAAGAAGGAAAGAAGAGUGGAAGAAGGAUAGAAGAGUGGAAGAAGGAAAGAAGAGUGAAGAAAGAAAAGAAGAGUAGAAGAAGGAAAGAAGAGUGAAGAAAGGAAAGAAGAAGGAAAGAGGAAAAAAAAGAAAAGUAUAAGAAGGAAAGAAGAAAGGAAAGGAGAGUGGAAGAAGUAAAGAAGAAGGAAAGAAGAAAAGAAAGAAGAGUGAAGAAAGAAAAGAAGAGUGGAAGAAGGAAAGAAGAAAAAAAAAGAAAAGUGAAAGAAGGAAAGAAGGAAAGAAGAGUGAAAGAAGGAAAAAAGAGUGGAAGAAGGAAAGAAGAAAAGAAAGAAGAGUGAAAGAAGGAAAGAAGAGUGGAAGAAGGAAAGAAGAAAAGAAAGAAGAGAGAAAGAAGGAAAGAAGAGUGGAAGAAGGAAAGAAGAAAGGAAAGAAGAGUGGAAGAAGGAAAGAAGAGUGGAAGAAGAGUGAAGAAAGAAAAGAAGAGUAGAAGAAGGAAAGAAGAGUGGAAGAAGGAAAGAAGAGUGAAGAAAGAAAAGAAGAGUAGAAGAAGGAAAGAAGAGUGGAAGAAGGAAAGAAGAAAGGAAAGAAGAGUGAAGAAAGGAAAGAAGAAAAGAAAGAAGAAGGAAAGAAGAGUGAAGAAAGAAAAGAAGAGUAGAAGAAGGAAAGAAGAGUGGAAGAAGGAAAG